ensembl:lncRNA
GGCGCCCGGCGCGCUGCCGUCACGGGCCAGGCGCUUGGGAAGGAGCCCAAGCACUCGACACCCUCGUUGAAGAUUGGCCCUGGGAGGAAAGCGGGCGGAUCCCCGACGAGAAUGCUAACCACCGAUUGGCUGAUGGAAGUGAAGGAGGCGGGCACUAGGAUGACUGAAGUUUAAAGAGGGUGGAAGAAAGUUUCAAGAGUCAGGGAGAGCAAGGAGGGGCAGGGGAGUGGGACUGGCUCCAGAACGCAGGGCCGAGAGAGGCCCUCGGUGCGGCGGCCCUAGCAAGGAAAAAACUUGGAUAGAAGAGCUGCCGAACUCCCCGAGUUCCUGUUGGGAAAGGAAAUGGCAAUCCACUCCGGUGUUCUUGCCUGGAGAAUCUCAUGGACGGAGAGGCCUGGUGGGCUGCAGUCUAUGGGGUUGCAAAGAGUUGGACACAACUAAGCAGGACACAAUUAAGUUGGACACAACUAAGUAUCCAUGAGGAGGGCUGUCAACAUUCCAUCCUGGAAAACCUUUACUAAGAUCGAUGUUUCCACAAAGCCUCCUCUUUUGACCCUCUCAUUCUUCAUUCCAAAACAAUGGACUCACAUCACCCAGAAUUCCACUUUGCUGUGGUAAUGAAACUCAGACAUCUGAUUUACCUUUGUAACUCUCAAAUAGCUUUAUUGCUUGGAAAUCAACUCAUCCUCAUUUAUUUUCCCUUUCUGUUACUUUCAGCUUAAAUACACAUAAAGAACUCUUCUUUCCUAUAGCUAUCCACAGGAAGGAAAAUUUCGAGAACUACUGUGGUUUCUGCAUAUGUAUCAAGAAGAAUGCUUUCGUAUCAAAUCCAUUAUUGAAAGAUUCAUUCAUCACUGUGCUGAGAUGAUUACAGAUACCUCCUGAAAAUCACAAACUCAUUGAGUCUGCCACUAGCAAGGACGCCCACCAGAAUGGAAGCUAUGAAGAAUGGAGACAAUUUCCUACUUACAAAUAUUUCGUAUCUCCAGAGUCUAACACAGUACUUGAUACAUAAAAUCUAAUUCAUUCCUAUUAAUUAAAAUAUACAGAAAGUC